rnacentral:rRNA from 1 species
GUGUAACAACUCACCUGCCGAAUGAAUUAGCCCUGAAAAUGGAUGGCGCUAAAGCGGGUAGCCGACACCAUGCCGUCUGUUUAACAGAUAACAGAUGAGUAGGAGGGCGUGGUGGCCGUGUCGAAGCAUGCGUGCGAACGCGUGUGGAACGGCCACUAGUGCAGAUCUUGGUGGUAGUAGCAAAUAUUCAAGCGAGAUCCUUGAAGGGCGAAGCGGGGAAGGGUUCCACGCAAACAUUGAUUGGGCGUGGGUGAGUCGUUCCUAAGCCGAGUGGUCAUAGCUAAAUACCGGCGAAAGGGAAGCGGGUUGAAAUUCCCGCACACGGAUGUGGAGGCGGUGACGCUUUAUUGAGGCGAAUACGCUGGCGGUGGCGCUGGGCAGAGAUGUCUUUUCUGUUUAACCAUUAUCGGGCUGUGUGGAAUCCGCUUGUCGGGAGAA